rnacentral:lncRNA from 1 species
GAUCUGUUCAAUUUUUUGAAUUCGAGUUUUUUGCUCAAUCCUAAAUAGUGACAUAAAAAUCAAAUGGCAUCAUAUUUAAAAAAAAUACACCUGCACGGAGGGUGCGGGUCAAAAUCUAGUGUAUAUAUUAUGCUUGAUCCAUUUUUUUGUGCACACACACACACUUAAUCUGCAGUGUUUGAUACAUACACCGUUUAUCUGCCUGUUAUUCAAAGCCUGUGAUUCUUAUUUAUGAUUUUAGUGGUGACAAAUAAUAUUAGGAUUUUAGUAAGGAAAAAAAGUUAGAAAUAGCUAAAGCCGGUUCUUUAUCUAAAGCAAAGGUAUAAUUACCCAUUACGUCAUUAG